GGACUGCCGGUGACAAACCGGAGGAAGGUGGGGAUGACGUCAAGUCCUCAUGGCCCUUAUGGUAGGGCUACACACGUCAUACAAUGGCCGGUACAGAGGGUAGCCAACCCGCGAGGGGGAGCCAAUCCCACAAAGCCGGUCGUAGUCCGGAUCGCAGUCUGCAACUCGACUGCGUGAAGUCGGAAUCGCUAGUAAUCGCAGGUCAGCAUACUGCGGUGAAUACGUUCCCGGGCCUU
rnacentral:rRNA from 1 species